rnacentral:misc_RNA from 1 species
GUGAAUCAUCGAAUUUUUGAACGCACAUUGCACUCUCUUCUGAGAGUACGCGUGUGUGAGGGUCAGCCUAAAAAAAAAUCGACAUAGUCGCUUUUUCGCGGUGACAUACUGCGGAAAUUGGGUCAGCUUAAACCCUUGGGCUUUAAGUGGCUUAAAAUUUUCUUUACGAUUCCACGAACGUGUCUAAGAAUUACUUCUUACACACUUAAGGUAAUC